rnacentral:rRNA from 1 species
ACGGGUGAGUAACACGUAUCCAACCUGCCGUCUACUCUUGGCCAGCCUUCUGAAAGGAAGAUUAAUCCAGGAUGGCAUCAUGAGUUCACAUGUCCGCAUGAUUAAAGGUAUUUUCCGGUAGACGAUGGGGAUGCGUUCCAUUAGAUAGUAGGCGGGGUAACGGCCCACCUAGUCAACGAUGGAUAGGGGUUCUGAGAAGAAGGUCCCCCACAUUGGAACUGAGACACGGUCCAA